AGCUAAGUAAUCAUAGAAGAAGUAUUGCUUCCAUGGAAAGGGCAAGGACAGACCUCUGUGAAAACAAACUAUAUACAUCUUGUCAAUGGAAUGGCAUUCUGCAAAAUAGAAAAGCAUGUGCUAUGUGGUGGUGAGUGUUAGAACAACAAACCGUAGCCUAGUGACGCCUCCUGAGCAGCUUGUUUUUGCUUAAUUACAAGUUGCUAUAGCUCUUUCCCUUACUCAAUUGUGAGCCUCUCUCCUAAUUGUGUCUCACAGAUGCAUAGUGAGGAGGUUAUUCAGCUUGUAUUUACAUCAUUACCCAUCUACCAUCAGAGUGUAUUGCUAACUGGUUCUCCUUACAAAUGCUUGUUGUGUUUGUUUUGUGUUUUUAAUUUUAUGUUCCACUGCUUGUCUACUUUUUCAUUGUUUUUAAUCCAAACUUCUACUUCAGCCUCUGCUCAUGAAGUCUCCCUCUCCCGAGUCCUUUGGGCUGCAAUAAUCAGACUCAAGCUGAGUGGAGACACACACUGAACAGAUGACAUGCCAGCCAAACUUGCCCCAAAAGUUGGGGAGGGAAAUGGUGCUCAACUGAAGGCAGCUGCUCUUGGGAGAGUCUUGACAGAGACCUCUGCAGCGAUAGUGCCUGGCAUCAGUGAUUGACGGGGAGCCAUCUGAUCAACUUUUGUUUCUGAAGGAAAACCCUGAGGAAACUCACUACCAUCCUCAGUGGCUGGUGGAUGGAUAAAGAGGUGGAAAGCAAGUUGGUAAGACUGCGGAUGGUCUUUCUUUUUCUCUUUCUUUUCCUUGUUUCCUCUCUCUUUUUUUCUCUUUCUUUCUUUCUUUUCUUUCUUUCUCUGUCUCUCGCUCUGUCUUUCUUUCUUUUCUUUUCUUUUUUUUGACAGAGUCUCACUCUGUUGCCCAGGCUGGAGUGCAGUGCUGCAAUUCAGGCUGACUGCAACCUCUGCCUCCCGGGUUUAAGCGAUUCUCCUGCCUCAGCCUCCUGAGUAGCUGGGACUAUAGGCGCCCACCACCAUGCCCAGCUCAUGUUUGUAUUUUUAGUAGAAAUGAGACUUCGUCAUGUUGGCCAGGCUGGUCUCAAACUCCUGACCUCAAGUGAUCCCCCCGCCUCGGCCUCCCAAAGUGCUGGGAUUACAGGUGUGAGUCACCGUGCCCAGCCAGAUGGUCUUUCUAACCAAACAACAGGGUAGCUGCAGGUCUCAGACCUUCUGUUUCUGCUUAACUGGUUGUAAAGAAUAUUCAUAUUGGUGGAACGAGAGGAAUGAGAAGGGUGGCUGUUUGCUUUCUGUGUGUGUAACAGAGAUGUAGAUGGUGGCUGUGUUACAUGAGAGAGGCCCAGAGGGCAGGAGAGAAGGAAGUGUCCAUGCUCACUAUUGCAAUUUAGUGUCUUAAGAUUCGUAUUUUGUUAAUUAUUUUGCUUGGUGAAAGUGACUUAACAUGUUUGAGCCAUAAGAAGAGACAACCAGAAAUGUGAUAAAGCCAAGAAAACUAUAGCAAAUGAUACUCUUGUGACAAGUCCUCCCCAUAAUGCCACACUGUUUUCCUCAAAUCCCCUCAAAGCACAUGGCAAAAGACAAAACUCCUGUCAACAAUUUCAGCUGCAAGUGAGAAUGAGAGGUUGGGAAAAUUUAUACAAUAGUAUGGUUCUCUCAGUUGUAUUCUUUGGUUAAAAUAUUGUCUUAAACUUCAACAGGCCACACUGUUUGUUUCAGUGUGGUUGAGAAAGAUGAAAAAUCAAAGCCAUUUCCUUUUACAAAAGCUUUCUGGAGGGCUGCUGAGGGUUACUUACCUUUGGGGGUGGCCCUUUGAAGGGAGACUGAGGAAGUGUAAUGGAAGGAACCAUGUGAGCAUUGGCCUGUCUGAGAAGUUAUCCAUGCUUUCCCUACAACCCCUCACCUGCAAGACGCCUCUAAGAGCUAUAAAAUCUUUCCCUCCCUUCUCUCCAACAGUCACAGACAGAGAUUGGCACUUCCUACAAGGCAGGCUUUCCAUCAUGUAGUUUGUAGAUUGUGUAAGUGGUUCUGAGAUGUGAAAUGCUCUAAAUCUCAUUUCCCCAUCAUUUUCCAAAAGUAUUUUUCUAGGUGAGAUUUCUAUCUCAUAGAUGGCAUUGAUAUCUCAAUGCAAGGACAGGAGCAACUCAUGCUGCCUGCUUUGACCACCCUCCCCCACACUUCAUCACCAUCCCUGCCUAACCCCUGGAGCAACUGUCCCUAAAGGGCCAUGGUGGUGGGGCCCCUGGCCUCAGAGCCUCCCCGCGUCCCCAGGCAGCUGUGGCAGAGCCCUGAACAUCACUCCUUCGGUGAUCCUUGGUCUCUCCUUCUCACCUGUAUGGGAAAAGAGACUUGGGCUGAGAAAUGCAUUCAGAUUUUUUCUGGCCUGUGGACUGUUUUCUUUCUAUGGUCUGAGUGUGUAGAGUGAGCAGAAACUAUGAAGAGCCAUGAGCAGUUCCGGGGGAGCAGCUGCGAGCAUCAUGGAAGGCCUCUGCCCUGUCGGAGAAGCCGGGAUCCUCUUCAGCUUGGACACUACAUCAGUGACACUGGCAUCUCCCCCAUGCCAGGUGUCCAGAUUAAUCAGGAGACCAUUGUAGAUGAGGCAUCGCUCUAGGACCUGGUACCUGCUUGUGCUUUGUCCAGAACUGAGCUCAGAACUUGCCCAGUUCUACCACAUGUCUGAAAACUUCUUCCUUCCUGUCCACAUCAUUCCGUAGUUGUCUCUGAGAUAUGUCUAUUUACAAGAAGAUACUCUGAAAAGGGCCAAGUCAGAAAUGACAUCUUGAUGUAUCCAGCCAGCCAGCAGUCUCAGUAGCCACUAAAAAAUUAGGUCAGUAGUUAAAAAUACUUUUACAAAGAAAAGCCCAGGCUUGGAUAGUUUUAUAAGAAUUACACCAAACAUUCAAGGAAUAGUUAAUAGUUCAUUCAAAUCUUAUACAAAUUCUUUCAGAUAAUAAAAAAAGAAAAAGAAAAACUCCUUAGCAAAUAUGUGAGAUAAAUAUAAACACAAUAUGAAAUUCACAUAGAGAUAAUUCGAGACAGGAAAAAUGAUUUACUCAUGAACAUAAAUGCAAAAAUCCUUUAAAAAUAUUGGCAAACUGAAUCCAAGAAUAUGUGAAAAAUAUAACACACCAUGAUAAAUUUGCAUCAUCCUAUAAAUGCAAAAUAUAUUUUGUAUUAAAAAAUCUAGUUUAGUUCAUGAAAUUAACAAAUUAAAUAAUUAUUUCAAUACUAUUAGAUAAACUUUAAACAUAUGUGGUCUCCUAGCUCUCCAAAGACCUCAUACUAAAAUAAUAGUUCUUCUUAAUAGAAGGAGCAAGGAAUUAUUGUUCCCAAAUGUUUUUACACACCUCCCCGCUAUGAGAGAAGUGUACUUCCUGGUUGGCUGACAUCCAGCCUGGGCCAUGUGACUUGCUCUGCCAGGAGUAGCAGGAAAGCAGAAAUGAUGUCUAUUAAGUCUUGAAAGAGGCUUUAAGAGCUAAUACACUCUUCUCCCACAUCCCCUCCUCAAGGGUCUCACUCCUAAAUAAAUGUUACUUUUUCAACUUCCAUCCCAGAAUAAAAAAGCAUGUGGAGCAGAAAUGGAACAGAGUAGAGGCCAGCUCAGUUUCCAUGUUAUAAAACCAAAUAGACAUCUUUGUUGCAGUAAGCCCCCAUGAUCUGGAUGUUGUUUGCUAUCACAAUAUAACUUACUCUGUGAUGAUUGCUAUUUUAAAAAGAGUACCUACCAAAAAUUUGUAGCGCAAACCAUACUUACUAAUAAAAAAUUAACCUUACUCCCUUUAAAAUAAAAAACAACAGUGAUGCCUUUGAUUCAACAUUGUGCAGUAAGAUAAGGAAAAAUAAAAUGUAGGAAUUAUAAAAGGAAAUACUAAGCUUUGGUUAUUUGCAGGUAAUAUGAUUGUUUAUAUAGAAACUCCUCAAGAAUAUGGACAUAAUUUAACAAAACAGAGCACCUAAAAUACCAACAAAAUCAUAAUACAUCCAGGAAUAAAUCUAACAAAAUUUGUGCAAGACUUCUUUGAAAUUAUAUAUGUUAUUAAAAUACAUUAAAGUAAACGUAAAUAAAUGCAUAUAUUAUUUAUCUAUUUAUUUAUUUAUUAUUAUUAUUUUUUUUUGAGAUGAGGUCUCACUAUGUUGCCCAGGUUGGUCUCGAACUCCUGGGCUCAAGUGAUCUGUUCACCUUGGCCUCCCAAAAUGCUGGGAUUACAAGCAUGAGCCACCACACCUGGCCUUAUAUUUAUUUUGUAUACAUAUAAUAUUUGUGAUAGAAGGACACAAUAUAUUAAAAGUUUGGUCAUUCUCUUCAAAUUGCUCUAUAAAUAAAAUGCAAUUCCUUUCAAAUUCAAUCCAGAGCUGUUUGCAGAACUUGAUAAGCAGAUUCUAAAAUUUUUAUGGAAAAAUGAAGCACAAGAAUAGCUGAAACACCCCUGUAGAGGAUGAACAGGAUGAGGCGAGCUGUUUUGCCAGUUUUCAUUGCCCUGUGUAUAUAAUAAAGCUUUGAUUAAUUAAGAGAGCAUAAUAUGGCACAGGAACAUAGGAUAGACCAGUGGAUCAGCACAGAGCGUGUAGAAACAAGCCCACACAUAAAAUGAAAUCUAGUAUAUAACUGGAAUGUCACUGCGGAUCAGUAAGAAUGGGUUGCUCAAUAAAUGAUGCUAUGAUCAUUUGUUUUCUAUAUGGACAACAACAACACAAAAAAGAAUACACAAAAAUAAAUAAAAGGGAAAAAGAUUUAGAUAUGGAAACCACAAACUUAAGACUUUGGGGAAAAAUAUAGAAUAUUUCUAUGAUCUUGGAGCAGGAAAAAAAUGAUGAAAACAAGACCCGAAAAGCACAAAUAUAAAUGAAAAGAUAAGAAAGUUAACUGAGUUAAAAUUAAUAACACUUCUUAAUCAAAAGAUUCCUAAAUGCAAAGAUAAGCAAAAAGGAAAAGUCUGCCUCCCCCAAAAGCAGUGGUAAAACAUAGGAAUAAACACUUCACAGAAGAGUCAGCCCAAAUAGCUAUUAAAUAAAUGAAAAAUGUUCAACCUUUUAAAUAAUGAAGAUGUUGCAAGAUAAAACCACAAUAAGUUAAAGUUUUAUACUAAAAUGUUGGUAAGGAUGGAGAUCACUGCAAAACAAACUGUAUAUAUAUAUAUAUAUAUAUAUAUAUAUAUAUAUAUAUAUAUAUAUAUAUAUAUGCUAUGUAGCUUUCUACAACCACUCUGUAUAACAAUUUGGUCAUAGUAAAGUAAAAAUAUGCAUAUCCUAUGACCAGGAAAUCUCACACACACACACACACAAAAUGCACAUGCUUAUGUGUACACACAAUCCCUAAAAAUACCCUUGAACAGGGGCACCCAGAGAUAUGUACAAGUAUAUUCAUAGAACCAUUAUGUGUGCUUAGCUACUAUUACAACCAUUAACACGGUUGAAGCCCGCAAACAAAAAAUUAAUGAAAAAGCAAGAUGCAGGAUACACAUACUAUGGUUUAUAUAAAGAUCAAAAAAUAACAAAAGUAUACUGCAUAUGGUUGAGAAUAGCCAGGGCUGACUAUAUAAUUUUUAGGCUCAGGGCAAAAUGAAAAUGUGGGAUCCCUUUGUUCCAAAAGCAGGGGAAAAGCUUUUAUCUUUCUUUCAUGGUCUAUCUCUGUAGGAUAAUGGCCAUAGUAUCUUGAUAAUUCAUAGAAAAAAAAACUAUAUUAACUCUAAACAUUUGAAAAAGCACUCAACUUACAAAAUACACAAAGAAACCAUUUUUAACCCAUUGGAUUGACAAAUAGAAAAAAUUGAUAACACACUCUCUUACCAAGACACUCUCAAAUAGUGCUAAUGGAGAAAUGAAAGGACACAGCCAUUUUCAAUAAUAAUUUGUCAAUAUCUUUCAAAAUUUCACAUCAAAUACUCUUUGAUUCUAUGGGAACUUCUCCUAUAUGUUUGAAAUUAUACAUGUAAAAGGAUGUUAAUUGCAGCAUUUUAUAAUUCCAAAAGAUUGGAAAUACCCUAACUAGCCUAAAGCAAGAGAGAGGUCAUAUCUGGGUCUUUGGAAGGAUAAUGGAAUGAUAUGUUAUGCAACCAUUAAAAUAUUGAGGUAGGUCUGUCUGUGCUAAUAAAUGAUCACCAACAUAUAUUGUUGAGUGAAAAAAUAAAAAGAAUUCUUUGCAAAAGAAUAUGACUAAUAUGGUAUCAUAUUUGUUGGAGAGUAAAGAGUGAGGGGAGAGACAGACAGAGAAUAUAUAUUUGUUCAUAUAUGUGUACUAUGGUUUGAUGUUUGUGACUCUCCAAAUUCAUGCUGGAAGUCCCCAGUGCAACACUAUUAAGAGGUGGGUCCUUUAGGAGAUGACUUAUUAAAGAUUAGUGUGCCUAUGAAAGUGAUUGAGGGAGAGAGUUCACCCUUUUUGCCCUUCUACCAUAUGGGGACACAGAAGGGAGACACCCUCUUGGAAGGAGAGAGCAAGCCUUUACCGGACACUAUAGCUGCCGACACUUUGGUGUUGGACUUCCCAGACUCUGGAAUGGUGAGAAAUAAAUUUCUGUGGUUUAUAAAUUACCCAGUCUAAGGUAUUCUGUCAUAGCAACCAGAGUAGACUAAGACAACAUACAUCUUCUGGAAUGAUAGAGUAGGUAACAGUAAUUGCUCUUUAGGAAGGAAACUAGGACUUUAAAAAACACUUUGCGCACUUAACAUUUUAAUUUGUGUGCACGCACUACUUUUUAAAAAAUAAUAUUUUAAAAAGUGGAAGCUUACAUUAUGAGUUUACAUUAUUGCCAGUUUAUUAUCAAUGAAAAGCUACAAUAUUAUUUCAACUACAGAUAAUUAUUAAGAAAUAAAAGGACCCCAGUGUGCCUGCUGAACAAAGAGAGAAGGACAUUUUGGAGACCAUAAAACAUUCUACAUUGGCUUUUGAUGUGUCUGAAGUGAAACAUACAUACUUCCCAGAGAAAGGUAGUAAAACAACCUGUAAACUUAAAGAGAAAGAAAAAAAAGCCCACAAAGCUCUUCUUUUUACAUACGUUGUUUUCCUGGUAAAAUAUGCUAGUGAUCUAAUCACCUAGUAUAUUUUGAGUACCCACCAUGUACUACACGCUGUGUUAGAGUGUGAGAAAGGGUGUCUAUAAAGGAGAGUAGGGCAUAGUCCCUACCCUCCGAUCUAAUUAGGAAGACAGGCCACACAAGAAGCACUAUUGUUCUAUCUCUAAAAGGUUCCAUUUAGGCACGUGAUCUAUGACCACCUCUAACUUUAUUUUAAAAUUCUAAUUAGCAAAUAAUACAAGACGAUAUAGUUUUAAGAGUGUUGGAGUAUGGGUCUUAGUGCUGCAGAAAUUUCACAACAGGGAGAGUGUGGAGACUGGAAUAAUGGAAAAUAACCUAUUCUGGUAGGGACAGCUGAUAUGGACAGAUGGAUGGGAUUUGGCUUAUCUGGAGGACUAUCUUGCUAUUGCAGUUUUUCUCCAUCUUCACACUGUAAGAUGUCUUUCCUCCUCUGUUUACAGCAUGGCUCCUGUUACAGCCUUCCGUUGUUCAGCUCAAACAACAUCGGUCUUGACAGUGGAGAGUAAAUGUGAAAGUUGGAAAGUAGCAACAGGCAUAAAUAAAUAUGCAGGCUUAUCGUCAUUUUAUAUUUAUUUUGGAACCCUUAGUAAAGAAGGCUUGCAUGGGCCUCUUUUCGUUCAGUAAGUUGAAAAGUAAAAACAGUCAGGUAGACAGACCUGACUUAAUGUUGAUCAUCCCCAUCGCUUAUGAGCUGUGUAAACUUGGGCAAGUCAUUGGGCUACAGCUUACUAACCAAAAAGUAGGGAAAAUAACCACUGUGUAGUGUUAUUAUGAAGAUUACAUGAGACAAAGGUAAAGAAUAUAUAUUAGAUACCUAAUAAAUCAAAGCCAUUCACUUUUAUUAUUGUUCCAAAUCCAAGUUGCUUCUUUCUUCCCCAGGUCAUUAGGUCCGGGUCUUAGAUUCCCCUAUCAGGAUCUCCUCAUCCAUAGAUCAGCACACGGCCCUAGGCCUGCCUAACAUCUCUUAAGGUUAAUCCUUUCAUUUUCAACUUACAUUAAUAAUAAUACUAAUAAUUACAACUACUCUUUAUUGAUUACCUCCUAUCAGCCAGGCACUAUGUGCUAAUCAGCCUGCAUAAAUUAAUACAAUAAAACCCUUCUGCUAUGAGUUUCUUAAAACAUUUAACUCACCAUUUAUGCUUUCUUUAUCAUAGACAGCAAAACUGAAAAGUAAUUUGUUCUAAAUCACCUUAUAAUAAAAAAAAAUCCAAAAUUAUUUUAUAUGUCUAGCUGGGCAUUGUACAAAAGAAAUUGGCAAAAUAUAAUUCCUGUCACUAAAAUUUACUACUUGAGGAAGGCAAAUCAAUAUCUUAUACACUGAGGAUAGACCUAUAAUUAUGAUCUGCAACAGCCAGAAUCAAUCUUGCAGAGAUGUCAAAAAAGAAAAGAAAAAGACAGAAUAUGUAAAAUUUCCAUUAACAGAAAUCUAACUAAUUAUACAGUAAAAUAAAACUCCCUUUCUCAUCUUCUCUUCAUUUUCUAGUCUCUAUUCUUAGAACGAAACACACACACACACACACACACACACACACACACACACACACACGCAAAACAAAAAAACAAAGGAUAACAAAACUUCUCGUCAGGGAUGUAGACGAUGUUGUUGAUGCUGUUUGAAUUCUGGGGAUGUGCUGAUGGGUGGCUGUCUUAGGGGGAUAGUGACUGACAGAAAGUUGCCAACAGACAGAGGCAAAGAAUACACAUUCCUUUCCUUUAAAGGAUUCAAGCAAGAACUUUGCCGCAAUAAGAGUGGAGCACAGGGCGGGAGGUCCGGCAGCAAGCUGAUGUUUGAAGACGUGGUCUCCUUAGCCCCACAUUUCCCAUACCAGGGAAUGAACGGCAGAGGAUACCACCACAUGAGGCUGACCAUUUGCUCAGUGUCCUUCCAGACUGUAUCUGGGUCCUCCUGGGUUCGGGGGGGAAGCAGGCUUUGGGGAGGUGUCUUUUUACCUGUGCGGCACUUCUUUACAGUUUCAAGAGAGGGAAGUAGAAAUUUUUGCUAUGAGUCCACUGCUUCUGGUGGACUUAAUAGUUUGCUACACAGAGCAAACUAUUAUUCGACUGUAUGAGAAUAAGAAUGCAUUUUGCCCUAGGGAUAAUUAUAUGCUUCUUUCAUCUGCUUAAGAGCUAGUAUGAGUCAGUCCUGCUCAUUGCUGGGUAGAGGAUACAAACUGUAUUGAAGUAGUCAAUCCAGGAGUCUCUGAGGUCUGGCCACCCCAAAUAGGAUCACACUUCCAUUCUGCUUGAAGUCCAGUUCUCACUGCUAAACUUAGCAACAUUCAAGACUGAAAGAUACAGUUGAACAGGUUAUGCACUGCACAAUUCUAGGGGACCUGCUGUUUUAUUAUGGCCCUGGAUUCUUCUCAGACUCCUAUUCUUCUGCCUACCCUGUGAUUGCUUAAUUCCAUCUCAACAGGUUAGGAUAUGUGUUAGUCCGUUCUCACGCUGCUGGUAAAGACAUACUCAAGACUGGGUAAUUUAUAAAUAAAAAGAGGUUUAAUGGACUUACAGUUUCACAUCGUUGGGGAGGCCUCACAAUCAUGGCGGAAGGCAAAAGGCAUGUCUUAUGUGGCAGGAGGUAAGAGAGAGAAUGAGAACCAAGCAAAAAGGGUUUCUCCUUAUAAAACCAUCAUGUCUCGUUAGACUUAUUCACUACCAUGAGAACAGUAUGGGGGAAAUCACCCCCAUGAUUCAAUUAUCUCCCACUGGGUCCCUCCCACAACACACAGGAAUUAUGGGAGCUACAAUUCAAGAUGAGAUUUGGGUGGGGACACAACCAAACCAUAUCAGGAUAAUAAUCAAAAGCACUGUAAGAUCUCAGUGAUCAAACGUGAGUAAGACCUAUUCCCUAUUUUCUACUUUAUUCAGGUAGAAAAUAGAUAAACACAAUAAAUACCAUGUUCUAGGAUCUUAAAACAAGAUGUGAAAGAAAAAGUAUCUCUGCUUUACAAAAAAAAAUUGAUUCCACAAAUUCAAUUUAUUUGGGGUUUUGCAUUUUACAAUUUUAAUAUCCUAUUGUAAUCACUGCAAAGGAAAAUAGACUCUGUCUCUUGCCUGUCUCCUCACUUCAUCAUCCUUUCCACACUGGAAAAUUUUUUUAUGAGGUUUUCUUUCAGCAAGAGUUGGCUCAAUUUUAAGUAUGUGAAUCAAGAACCUGUUAGCCUAAAGUGAAUUGUGGUUUGGGAGGUUAAUUUGUAAUUCAUGUCUCUCUCCUGAUAAUGCAGGAAGGUAUGAAUAAAGAUUAUACAGGGCACACACAGUAUUAAUACAUUUUAAGCAAAAAUGCAGAUUGCAUUGAAUUAAGAGGGAUUCAGCUAUGCCUCUCUCAGGCUGGGAUUAUUACCCUUUCCUCAGAUUGCUAUUAGAUUAGCUAGUCUAAUGUCCCUGAUUCCAAAAUACAAGUGGUAAUUAAUCUCAUACCCAUUUAUUUGAAAACCUACAGCAAAAGCAGAGGUUAAAGCCUUACGCAUUUCAUGAAAGACUAAUAUUGAAUUAGAAUUACAUUAUUUACUACAACACUCUGGUGUGAGCAGCAAAAUUUCCAUGUGGGGCUACAGUUCUUUUUUCUCAGAUUUCUCAAGUUCAGAUAACACAAUCUAUUUUAUCUCAGUGUCUCUCACCAACUCUUUCCCCAUUGAGAGUAUAUUAAACAGACUUCUCAUCCAGGGAAGGAAAAGGUUCAAGGACUGAACACCUUGAGUGGGAGGAAAUAACAAUUGAACCAAUUAGCCCUUUUAUAACCUCCCUCUAGUUUGAAGACAGGUUUUGUUCUGACUUCUUUAUACUGAGAAAUUUUUUAUACAUGGUAAUCAUUAUUCUAUAAUUACAUUAAAUGCCAGCUUCUGUGAUCUCUCUUGAACCCCAUAAAGCUGUAAAGCAAUCCACCUAGGCCAUGAUGAACUUUCUAAAUUAGACACAAUAUACUGAUUUAAUGUGAAUAUAGCUAAAGCUCAGUGGGGGUGGCUGAUCAUAUUUGGUUAUAAAUGUUAACAAAUGAGCAAAGAAGGCUUUAGUAACUGCUCUUUCUCUUUUUCAUACACACACACACACACACACACACACCCCUUUCACUAGCUAAAUUGCUCUCAAGUAUAAUUUUCAAAAUGAUGAAAAUCAUGACUCAUAUCAAUUGAACACAAGUCAAAAAUUUUGUUUAUCUCUUUAUUUAAAGGGUAAACCAAUAAGAUGUUAAUGGAGAGUUUGAAGAAUUCAAAGACCGAGCAAUCAGAGAUAUUUAAAUGUAUUUGCUAAUAAACGCAAAGCUGGUUAAUAAGCUCAAAGGUAAUAAAAUGUAAUGUUUGGCAUAAUCUUUCCACAGGCCAGAAAUCAUGUAUAUCCUUACCAGACAAAAUCCAUUUACAUUGCUAAGAAUAAGAAUUAUAUACACUUCUCUCAUUUUCUACAACUUAAUUCCACCUCGACAGAGCUCAAAAAUAGCCCAGUCAAAAGAAACCAACCAAAGGGUGCAACCUCUAUAGAUUCCAAUGUCCAGCAUUCCCAGAGUGAAGACAGUAAACCAAAACUAAAAUCCUAAGCCCUCCCCAACUGAUCAAAUGGACACCCUCUUGGUCAAGAGGACCCCGGAGAAACCUGAGAAAUGGAAUUCCUGAUCAUGAUGGGAAGGGAGGUUAGACACGCCCUGUUAUGCCCUCUUCCUUUUGGAGUUUAGGAAGAACUGACCAGCAUUAACAUUAAAAUAGAGAUUAUAAGACUGGCAAAACAGACUCUUUGUGGCAAUAAGAUACCAAAUUCCAACCUGACUAUGGUAGAGCACCACAUGACAGAUAGUAGGCCCUGAAGGAAAUCAAAAUAUUUUACCCCAUAUAUAUUUCUUUGACAUAUGUUGAAAUGGCCCUGUAAAGCCAUCUUUUGUGGGGGAAAUUUGCAUCUGUAGAGAAUCUUCAUUAAUAUAGUCAAGGCUUUCCCAGACCUGGGAGAGAUUUGCUAAGAGUCUGGCACCUUUUACCACUGAAAAGUAAGUAUUUACCAUUUAUUCUUUCUGAA
rnacentral:lncRNA from 1 species